rnacentral:rRNA from 1 species
GAUGAACGCUGGCGGCGUGCCUAAUACAUGCAAGUCGAGCGAACAGACGAGGAGCUUGCUCCUCUGACGUUAGCGGCGGACGGGUGAGUAACACGUGGAUAACCUACCUAUAAGACUGGGAUAACUUCGGGAAACCGGAGCUAAUACCGGAUAAUAUAUUGAACCGCAUGGUUCAAUAGUGAAAGACGGUUUUGCUGUCACUUAUAGAUGGAUCCGCGCCGCAUUAGCUAGUUGGUAAGGUAACGGCUUACCAAGGCAACGAUGCGUAGCCGACCUGAGAGAGUGAUAGGCCACACUGGAACUGAGACACGGUCCAUACUCCUACGGGAGGCAGCAGUAGGGAAUCUUCCGCAAUGGGCGAAAGCCUGACGGAGCAACGCCGCGUGAGUGAUGAAGGUCUUCGGAUCGUAAAACUCUGUUAUUAGGGAAGAACAAAUGUGUAAGUAACUAUGCACGUCUUGACGGUACCUAAUCAGAAAGCCACGGCUAACUACGUG